rnacentral:lncRNA from 1 species
GAAUGUCCCCAUGUAAGUCGAGUGCCAACGGGCACACGAUUUAUACAUAACGGCAACAACAAUAUAUUACAUAUCCAAUAUAUCACGACAACAACAAUAUAGAUCACAACAAUAUAUUACAUAUCCAAUAGAUCAAAACAACAACAACAAUAUAUUACAUAUCCAAUAGAUCACAACAACAAUAUAGUUUCACAAAAGCAUGCGUACAUAUGCAACAAGAAUUCACAAAUGAAAUGGUCAUGCAUACAUAUCCAAUAUAUUACAAGUUCACAAAAAUAACAAACCGAUGAUGAGUUCAAAGUCCACACAUGCAUACAUAUCCAACAUAGUUUCACAAAAACACACAUACAUAUUCAAGGAGGGUUCACAACAUGUGUACAUAUGCAACAAGAGUUAACAAACAAAAGCAUGAGUUCAACCUACAAUAUGCAAUGAGCUUCCGCCACAGCAUGUAUGCCCACCGUCGACGGCAUCCGUGAUGCCAACCUAUAAGUUCAAUAGCACACGCAUGAGUAUCCAAAGUUAAAUUUUUGAAGAAUAGAAAUCAUAUCAAAUUAAAAGAGCACUGCAAAACUGCAACAAGAAGAUUUAGUUUUACUCUCAU